CGGACGGGUGAGUAACGCGUGGAAAACCUGCCGUAUACUGGGGGAUAACACUUAGAAAUAGGUGCUAAUACCGCAUAAGCGCACAGCUUCGCAUGAAGCGGUGUGAAAAACUCUGGUGGUAUACGAUGGUUCCGCGUCUGAUUAGCUAGUUGGUGGGGUAAUGGCCUACCAAGGCAACGAUCAGUAGCCGGCCUGAGAGGGUGAACGGCCACAUUGGGACUGAGACACGGUCCAAACUCCUACGGAAGGCAGCAG
rnacentral:rRNA from 1 species